GGUGGGGCCUUUGUAUCUCACUCCCGCCACAGCUUGGGAUCGGUCUCUGCUGUUUUACGUCCUCCACCUCGGGAGCCCCCGGUGACUGUCACAGCCUCUUGCCCUGUGAUCUGCAGGUUCUGGGAGACGCACAGCUAAGAUGCCAGGACAUCCUGGAAGCUGGGAAAAGAUGGAGUUUCACUCUUGUUGCCCAGGCUGGAGUGCAUUAUCCCAAUCUCGGCUUACUACAACCUCCGCCUCCCAGGUUCUGACAACAAAGGAGAUUGUGACAUAUUGCUGGGCCUAACACUAAGGUGAUGUUAGUUAUUUGCUUUGGCUGUGCCCUUGGAAGGCAUUGAGACAUACUGCUGUGCCCAGCACCAAGAUGAUGUAACGUGACUCUUCUGCUUCAGGCCUGCCAAAAGAAAAGAUUGUGACAGAUCACUGGACCCAGCACCUAGGUAGGAUUGUGACAUAUAUCUGGCCAAGCGUACAGAUGUAAUGAUGACUGUCAUACCUUGAAGAAGCCAAUAGCAGAGAGAAUGUUGCUCUCAGGCUUAGGAAAAUGAGGAAGUCU
rnacentral:lncRNA from 10 species